CGCGUCCUGCCUCCAGAGCGCCCGCGUCCGGCCUCCACGACGCCCGCGUCUUGCGUCUGCUCUGCCCGCGUCCUGCCUCCAAAGCGCCCGCGUCCAGCCUCUAGUUAAAAACUGCGUCCGCUUGGACGCAGUCGUCGUAACAUAAUCGGAAAAACGAACUAAUAUUUGCAUCAUACUCGUAGUUUGUCGUGAGAAUACAGAUCAGUGUCACUGAUCGGAGAAGCAAAGAAUAAAAAGUUGAAUCCGAAAUCGAGUUUCAUUGAACCUAAGCGUUACACUUAGUAUAACCAUUUUAUAAUGUUAUACGUUAUACUACAGUAAGCGUAGUGCUUUCACAAUUCAAUCACACGUACUGGAGUGGCGAUCGAAGCGUAUAUGACUGUAUAUUGGAGCGUAAAAUAGACAUAAACUAUAUAUAAAUAUAAUGUAGACACAUAUACUAAACUCAGUGAGAUCACGACUACAACGAGUAUGUAUCUCGCAAUACAUUCAUUUGCUACUCAAAUUCUGACUUACCUCGUAGAAGAUUGCCGAUUAGUUGAUAUGCAAUUCUGUAUUUGAAUAAUAUUAUGUCGCCGUAACUCGUCAGUAUAUUAAAACGAAGAUGCUCAUUUACAAUAUAUAUAGUGCUUUUGAUUUUUCAUAUAAAAUACCAUUACUACGAGCCACUAUAUAACUUUAUUUACAGCAACAAGUUUGUGUUGUUUUUCCAAAGCAGUAAAUGCACAUGGUGAUAUGUCAUAUAAAUUGAUAAUUACCAUAUAAUUUCUGGAUAAAUGACUUCUCUUAAUCCCUUAAUGGAAUACCUUUACAUGUCCAGGAAACAGUCUUUGUGUUUCAACACGGUUCAGUGACUGUGACUCAUCGCUUGAUUUUCAAAGUUGCAGUAUAAUUCGCUAAAGCUGAAGUGAAGAGCUCAGACUAAUAUCACUCGAUCCGUAUUACUAUCAGACUAAUAAAAUGAGGUAUCGAUCGCUACUCGUCAACCAAAACGUAUUUUGGGUUUCUUCGAAGAAGAUAUAAAACCAUACGUGCAUUUUGCCAACCGGCAACGUUAAAAGAUUACUGGGUUUAAACCAAACGUUAUACGAAAGUGCGAAAGUAGAGAUCAAAUACGAAAAGGAACUUUACGAAGCACAAAUUCUGAAAUUUCACGGUAAGUUUAAUAUUAGAAAUAUAAAUAUCUAGGAUUCUAGGUCUGUAACGCAUGUGUAUAUAAGCAUAAAAAUGUGGUGUGAAAUCGCUAACAUGAAUAUUUUCCGACGCCCACGGUUUGUUUAUGAAAAGCGAAACGCGAUAAUUUCCGACGAUCUACGAAUAGAACUC